rnacentral:rRNA from 1 species
UAGGGAAUCUUCCGCAAUGGGCGAAAGCCUGACGGAGCAACGCCGCGUGAGUGAUGAAGGUCUUCGGAUCGUAAAACUCUGUUAUUAGGGAAGAACAAAUGUGUAAGUAACUAUGCACGUCUUGACGGUACCUAAUCAGAAAGCCACGGCUAACUACGUGCCAGCAGCCGCGGUAAUACGUAUGUGGCAAGCGUUAUCCGGAAUUCUUGGGCGUAAAGCGCGCGUAGGCGGUUUUUUAAGUCUGAUGUGAAAGCCCACGGCUCAACCGUGGAGGGUCAUUGGAAACUGGAAAACUUGAGUGCAGAAGAGGAAAGUGGAAUUCCAUGUGUAGCGGUGAAAUGCGCAGAGAUAUGGAGGAACACCAGUGGCGAAGGCGACUGUCUGGUCUGUAACUGACGCUGAUGUGCGAAAGCGUGGGGAUCAAACAGG